CACGUAGGGGGCGAGCGUUGUCCGGAUUCAUUGGGCGUAAAGGGCGCGCAGGCGGCCCGGAAAGUCGGAUGUGAAAACUCGAGGCUCAACCUCGAGCGUGCACCCGAUACUGCCGGGCUUGAGGCAGGUAGGGGAGAUCGGAAUUCCUGGUGUAGCGGUGAAAUGCGCAGAUAUCAGGAGGAACACCGGUGGCGAAGGCGGCUCACUGGCCCGGUACUGACGCUGAGGUGCGAAAGCGUGGGGAGCAAACAGG
rnacentral:rRNA from 1 species